rnacentral:rRNA from 1 species
ACUCCUACGGGAGGCAGCAGGGGGGAAUCUUGCACAAUGGAGGAAACUCUGAUGCAGCGAUGCCGCGUGAGUGAAGAAGGCCUUUGGGUUGUAAAGCUCUUUUGUAGGGGAAGAUAAUGACUGUACCCUAAGAAUAAGGUCCGGCUAACUUCGUGCCAGCAGCCGCGGUAAU